GGGGGUUGUGGGUAUGCGGCUAGAGGGAAGGUUCCAGACACGUCGAGAGUGGGAAACUUAAAUUCCCCUCUCUGGUGUAGGCGCAGGCUUUAGCUCCAGGAUCUUUUCUGGAAGAGACUGGGGCAGCAUGAAUGUGCUGGAAGAUUAGAGGCUGCUGAUGCUGAAGGAAGGAGAAACGAGGAGGAAGUGUCCCUGUGGACAAGUCAUCUCCCUUCAUUUAAGCCAGGCCAGUAGUCCGGGAGACAUUCUGAAUGAUGCAUUAUCCUAGGCACCAGAAAGUAUCUAACAUUCUCAUGGACAGCAGGGAAAAAUGAGCACAUGAGACAGGGGAAGAUUCCAGCACCUGUGAACAUGUUUGUGCAGGUUUCCAGUCAGUACAUGGAUAUCCCUCAAGCCUUUGAAUCCAGUCUCCUGUGUUGUGAUUGGACCGUUUGUCAUUAGGUUUCCAGUGGCAGAGUAAUGCUGUGGGAGAACUGGCUACGAUGGCCGCAGGAGGUGAAUUAAGUAUUGUUGUGUUUUUAGUAGAACCACUAAAGGAAGAUCUGCAGGCAAGUUGGAUGAGUAUAAGAGCCAAAGAUUGACAAGACUUCCUCAGAUGCUCCUACUGACCAGUGGGGGCACUUCUACAGCUCCCCGAAUAUGUUCUCCCUGCAACCCCCACCACUUUUUAAUUAAAUGGCCAGAACUGCCUUUUUGUAUCAAAACUUAUUUUAGUCUAUCAAUCAAAGGCUUCUAUAGCCCACCUCAUGGCAAAGGAUAUCAGAGAGGUAAAAGAUAAUUGUUUUGACAUAUUUAUUAUCACAACUAGCGACUCUUUCUGCAUUCACAUUGGCUGGUAUGCAGAAAAGGGUGCUUUACAGGAUUCUUGGAAAUGUGUAGUGGAUGCUGGCUCUAGGGGAGGCAGAAUAGAGUGUGGGUUCUGCCAUGGGUCACAUCCGGGUUUUAAUUCUGCCUCUGCCACAUGACCUUGAGCACACUGGAAAACCCUAUUAGAUGUGCAAGAAGGCUUCCCCAUCUGUAAAGGUGGGUGACUUAGCAACUUUAGCAAUGCUUAAGUCACCCGGUUGUUGUGAGUAAUACAUAAGUUAAUGUAUGCUAACUUUCUAGAAAGUUUCCUGGCACAAAGUUGUAUUUAAUAAAUGAUUUUUAAAACAA
rnacentral:lncRNA from 1 species